ensembl:lncRNA
CAGCCCUAUGCAAAAUGUACUGUGGUACACUAUAGUACAACAUAAAGUAUGCAGACGCUUUUCGUUUGCAGUUCAGUAAGUGAAACAACAAUACAUGAGACUACCACUUGAAGUCUAGUGUAGCCCUAAAGCUGAUCCAUGGUGUCCUCUGAAUUUGGCGUCAAACUGUUAUGUUUGCUUUAGGUGUGUCUGUACGCCGACUUUGAGAUUGUGUGUGUGUGUGUGUAUGACAGAACCCUCUCCACCAAUGGAUGAAAAGGAGUGGCAUAUCUUUAACGUGCCUUACAGCAAGGUGCUGCUCCUGGGGGCCAUCGCCGCGGCGACCGUCUUCGUUGUGACCAUUCUCAUCGUGCUGGUGUGUGUCGGAUGCCAAAGCUGUCCUAGGAAAGACAAAAGAAAAUACUCUUCAACCAAUACGCACACGCUAUACGCCACGGUAGAACGGUAGAACCAGAGGUAGAACAGAACGGGGCCAGCCGACACGGAGAUGGCACAUCACAGCCAGGAGGGCGGCAAGAGUGUGUUCAACCUGCAGUCCUUCCCAAAAGUACGUAUGACUGUUAUGCCCCCUGCUGCUCAUUCAGUGCAAGUGCAUGCAAUAGAGCCAUAGAGAACAGUAAUGUUUGGUGAAAAUAUUUUGAUAUUGACAAUGAUUUGAAUGACAAAUUGUAGUGUUGGUUUUCACGAUUGUUUUCCUUUGGCAUUAUUUAAUUCCAGCAGUUCGUUUAUUCACACACUCGUCACAGUCCUUCAAUUCUAGCAAAGUCAAAGUCAAAGUCAAAGUCAAAGUGUUUAUUGUCACAUGCACCAAAUUGCUUCAGCGCAGUGAAAUUCUUAAGACUUGGCAGGCAACAUCUACGCAGUAGACGGCAUACAAGAUACAAAAAAAUAACAUAUAACACUAUAACAUAUAACAUAUAACAAGUAACAACAAUUUGACCACAAGGGCAAAACCUGUGAAUAAUUUUUUGUCACCGUCUUUUUUUUUCAGUAUCUCACGUUGAUGGAUUUUAAGCAGAAAUGGCUGCAGGGAGAAGCUAAUCUACAUCUUAACAACCCUCUGAAGCCUGGUUAAUGUGUGUCUACAAGCCUUAUCUCAAGCAUACUGCGGGACAUUUCCUCAGUGUUCCACCAAGCUGAACAAGAUUGUGGUGUGCAAAAAAAAAAAGAAAAAAAAUCCGAAUGUGCCUAUAAGACAAAGGCAUAGUCACAGUCUACACCAUUCAUAAAACCUUCCCUAAUGGUGUAACUCACGUCUUUAUCCUCCGGCAUUGUCUGGGGCUCAUAUGAACAGUGGUGGAGGAAGUA